rnacentral:rRNA from 1 species
AUAGCGUGAGGGAAACGCCCGGUUACAUUCCGAACCCGGAAGCUAAGCCUUUCAGCGCCGAUGGUACUGCAGGGGGGACCCUGUGGGAGAGUAGGAC